GAUUAACGCUAGCGGCAGGCCUAAUACAUGCAAGUCGAGGGGCAGCAGGGUGUAGCAAUACAUCGCUGGCGACCGGCGCACGGGUGCGUAACACGUAUGCAACCUACCUUUAACUGGGGAAUAGCCCUCCGAAAGGAGGAUUAACACCGCAUAACAUCACGAGACGGCAUCGCCUUGUGAUCAAACCUCCGGGGGUUAAAGAUGGGCAUGCGUCCGAUUAGCUAGUUGGCGGGGUAACGGCCCACCAAGGCGACGAUCGGUAGGGGGUCUGAGAGGAUGAUCCCCCACACUGGUACUGAGACACGGACCAGACUCCUACGGGAGGCAGCAGUAAGGAAUAAUUGGACAAUGGUCGCAAGAACUGAUCCAGCCAUGCCGCGUGCAGGAUGAACGAUCUAUGAUCUGUAAACUGCUUUUGUUUCGGGAAUAAACCCCUUCACGUGUGGAGGGCUGAAUGUACCGGAAAGAAUAAGGGUCGGCUAACUUCGUGCCAGCAGCCG
rnacentral:rRNA from 1 species